rnacentral:rRNA from 1 species
CCUACGGGUGGCAGCAGUGAGGAAUAUUGGUCAAUGGGCGCGAGCCUGAACCAGCCAAGGAGCGUGAAGGAUGACUGCCCUACGGGUUGUAAACUUCUUUUAUAAAGGAAUAAAGUGAGGCACGAGAGCCUUUUUGUAUGUACUUUAUGAAAAAGGAUCGGCUAACUCCGUGCCAGCAGCCGCGGUAAUACGGAGGAUCCGAGAGUUAUCCGGAUUGAUUGGGUUUAAAGGGAGCGUAGAUGGGUUGUUAAGUCAGUUGUGAAAGUUUGCGGCUCAACCGUAAAAUUGCAAUUGAUACUGGCCGUCUUGAGUACAGUUGAGGUAGGCGGAAUUCGUGGUGUAGCGGUGAAAUGCUUAGAUAUCACGAAGAACUCCGAUUGCGAAGGCAGCUUACUAAACUAUAACUGACACUGAAGCACGAAAGCGUGGGGAUCAAACAGGAUUAGAUACCCGUGUAGUC